rnacentral:rRNA from 1 species
CUGCCAGACUCCUACGGGAGGCAGCAGUGAGGAAUAUUGGUCAAUGGCCGAAGGGCUGAACCAGCCAAGCCGCGUGAAGGAAUAAGGCCCUACGGGUCGUAAACUUCUUUAGUCAGGGAACAAAGGGAGCCACGCGUGGCGCUGUGAGUGUACCUGAAGAAUAAGCAUCGGCUAACUCCGUGCCAGCAGCCGCGGUAAUACGGAGGAUGCGAGCGUUAUCCGGAUUUAUUGGGUUUAAAGGGUGCGCAGGCGGAAUGUCAAGUCAGCGGUAAAAUUUCGGGGCUCAACCCCGUCGUGCCGUUGAAACUGGCAGUCUCGAGUUGGAGAGAAGUAUGCGGAAUGCGCGGUGUAGCGGUGAAAUGCAUAGAUAUCGCGCAGAGCUCCGAUUGCGAAGGCAGCAUGCCGGCUCCACACUGACGCUGAGGCACGAAAGCGUGGGUAUCGAACAGGAUUAGAUACCCGGGUAUU